rnacentral:rRNA from 1 species
GAGCUUGCUCUGUGGAUCAGUGGCGAACGGGUGAGUAACACGUGAGCAAUCUGCCCCUGACUCUGGGAUAAGCGCUGGAAACGGCGUCUAAUACCGGAUACGAGCUGCGACCGCAUGGUCAGUAGCUGGAAAGAAUUUCGGUCAGGGAUGAGCUCGCGGCCUAUCAGCUUGUUGGUGAGGUAAUGGCUCACCAAGGCGUCGACGGGUAGCCGGCCUGAGAGGGUGACCGGCCACACUGGGACUGAGACACGGCCCAGACUCCUACGGGAGGCAGCAGUGGGGAAUAUUGCACAAUGGGCGAAAGCCUGAUGCAGCAACGCCGCGUGAGGGAUGACGGCCUUCGGGUUGUAAACCUCUUUUAGCAGGGAAGAAGCGAAAGUGACGGUACCUGCAGAAAAAGCGCCGGCUAACUACGUGCCAGCAGCCGCGGUAAUACGUAGGGCGCAAGCGUUAUCCGGAAUUAUUGGGCGUAAAGAGCUCGUAGGCGGUCUGUCGCGUCUGCUGUGAAAACCCGAGGCUCAACCUCGGGCCUGCAGUGGGUACGGGCAGACUAGAGUGCGGUAGGGGAGAUUGGAAUUCCUGGUGUAGCGGUGGAAUGCGCAGAUAUCAGGAGGAACACCGAUGGCGAAGGCAGAUCUCUGGGCCGUAACUGACGCUGAGGAGCGAAAGGGUGGGGAGCAAACAGGCUUAGAUACCCUGGUAGUCCACCCCGUAAACGUUGGGAACUAGUUGUGGGGUCCAUUCCACGGAUUCCGUGACGCAGCUAACGCAUUAAGUUCCCCGCCUGGGGAGUACGGCCGCAAGGCUAAAACUCAAAGGAAUUGACGGGGACCCGCACAAGCGGCGGAGCAUGCGGAUUAAUUCGAUGCAACGCGAAGAACCUUACCAAGGCUUGACAUAUAGAG